UUGUGGAGGAGGACGCCGAAGGUGGGGCUGAUGACUGGGGUGAAGUCGUAACAAGGUAGCCGUACCGGAAGGUGCGGCUGGAUCACCUCCUAACAGGGAGACAAAACUGAUCGUGAUGCGUAAGUAAAUCUUUCUUAGGUCAUGAUCCUGUCACCUUAGGUCGAUCGGUACCUCAGAUUAAGCAUAAAAAAAAGAGCUAACUAAAAAUUAGUCUCGCUAUUUUGUACUUGGUUUCAGUUCCUAAACUUGUCUAGGUCACACCCCGCAAGUGUUACUCCUGGGCCAUUAGCUCAGGUGGUUAGAGCGCACCCCUGAUAAGGGUGAGGUCCCUGGUUCAAGUCCAGGAUGGCCCAUUCGGUGUUGGGGGUUUAGCUCAGUUGGUAGAGCGCCUGCUUUGCAAGCAGGAUGUCAGCGGUUCGAGUCCGCUAACCUCCACUGAUCAACUACCUGAUAACUCAAUUGGGAGAUUGUAUUUGUUUAAAGUGAUUUAGAUGUUGUUCAACUGAAUGAACCUAGCUUCCUGUCAUUCCUUAUUUACUUAGGCUGAUAAGACGCUGGGCUCACUGAUAUUCUUAGGAUUAUCAGUUUGAUUCAGCAGAACCUUGACAACUGCAUAGGAAAGUCUGGAAAGAAUAAAGCAUCUCAUGGAUGCAUAAUUCUUUAUUAUUUUUUGAUAUUGAAUUGCGAUUUUUCGUGAUUUCUUUAUCUUAAAAAUAUAUUGAAUUCAUGUUUGAUUCUUGAGUAAGAAAAAUGCUCUAUAGAUUUAUUUUUAUAGAGAUGAAUGGUCAAGCUACAA
rnacentral:misc_RNA from 1 species